AUUGAACGCUGGCGGCAGGCCUAACACAUGCAAGUCGAGCGGAUGAGAGGAGCUUGCUCUUCGAUUCAGCGGCGGACGGGUGAGUAAUGCCUAGGAAUCUGCCUAGUAGUGGGGGACAACGUUUCGAAAGGAACGCUAAUACCGCAUACGUCCUACGGGAGAAAGUGGGGGAUCUUCGGACCUCACGCUAUUAGAUGAGCCUAGGUCGGAUUAGCUAGUUGGUAGGGUAAAGGCCUACCAAGGCGACGAUCCGUAACUGGUCUGAGAGGAUGAUCAGUCACACUGGAACUGAGAAACGGUCCAGACUCCUACGGUAGGCAGCAGUGGGGCAUAUUGGACAAUGGGCGAAAGCCUGAUCCAGCCAUGCCGCGUGUGUGAAGAAGGCCUUCGGGUCGUAAAGCACUUUAAGUUGGGAGGAAGGGCUCAUAGCGAAUACCUGUGAGUUUUGACGUUACCAACAGAAUAAGCACCGGCUAACUUCGUGCCAGCCGCCGCCGUAA
rnacentral:rRNA from 1 species